rnacentral:rRNA from 1 species
CCUACGGGAGGCAGCAGUGAGGAAUAUUGGUCAAUGGACGAGAGUCUGAACCAGCCAAGUAGCGUGAAGGAUGACUGCCCUAUGGGUUGUAAACUUCUUUUAUAUGGGAAUAAAAUGUUCCACGUGUGGGAUUUUGUAUGUACCAUAUGAAUAAGGAUCGGCUAACUCCGUGCCAGCAGCCGCGGUAAUACGGAGGAUCCGAGCGUUAUCCGGAUUUAUUGGGUUUAAAGGGAGCGUAGGUGGAUUGUUAAGUCAGUUGUGAAAGUUUGCGGCUCAACCGUAAAAUUGCAGUUGAAACUGGCAGUCUUGAGUACAGUAGAGGUGGGCGGAAUGCGUGGUGUAGCGGUGAAAUGCUUAGAUAUCACGAAGAACUCCGAUUGUGAAGGCAGUUCACUGGACUGCAACUGACACUGAGGCUCGAAAGUGUGGGUAUCAAACAGGAUUAGAUACCCGUGUAGUC